rnacentral:rRNA from 1 species
UGAGGAAUAUUGGGCAGUGCCCGCAAGGGUGACCCAGCAACGCCGCGUGGAGGAUGAAUGUCGUAAGAUUGUAAACUCCUGUUAGAGGGGAAGAAUAGUACCGGUUGGACCGGUAUAUGACUGUACCCUCAGAGAAAGCCCCGGCUAACUACGUGCCAGCAGCCGCGGUAAUACGUAGGGGGCAAGCGUUGUCCGGAUUUACUGGGUGUAAAGGGCGCGCAGGCGGGAUAAAAAGUCAGUGGUGAAAUCCUACAGCUUAACUGUAGAACUGCCUUUGAUACUUUUAUGCUUGAGUUCGGGAGAGAGAGACGGAAUUCCAGGUGUAGUGGUGAAAUACGUAGAUAUCUGGAAGAACACCAGUUGCGAAGGCGGUCUCUUGGUCCGACACUGACGCUGAGGCGCGAAAGCGUGGGGAGCAAACA